AUUGAACGCUGGCGGAAUGCUUUACACAUGCAAGUCGAGCGGCAGCGCGGGGGCAACCCUGGCGGCGAGCGGCGAACGGGUGAGUAACAUAUCGGAACGUACCCAGUCGUGGGGGAUAACUAUCCGAAAGGAUAACUAAUACCGCAUACGUCCUGAGGGAGAAAGCGGGGGAUCGCAAGACCUCGCGCGAUUGGAGCGGCCGAUAUCGGAUUAGCUAGUUGGUGGGGUAAAGGCUCACCAAGGCGACGAUCUGUAGCGGGUCUGAGAGGAUGAUCCGCCACACUGGAACUGAGACACGGUCCAGACUCCUACGGGAGGCAGCAGUGGGGAAUUUUGGACAAUGGGCGCAAGCCUGAUCCAGCCAUGCCGCGUGAGUGAAGAAGGCC
rnacentral:rRNA from 1 species